AACGAACGCUGGCGGCGUGCCUAAUACAUGCAAGUCGAACGCAGUGGGGACGGGUGAGUAACACGUGGGUAACCUCCCAUCAGAGGGGAUAACACUUGGCAACAGGUGCUAAACCGAUACUGAUGGAUGGACACGGGGUGCAGUAGCUAGUUGGUGAGGUAUAGGCUCACAAAGGCCACGAUGCAUCGCCGAUCUGAGAGGAUGAUGUGCCCCACUGUGACUGAGACACGGCCCAGACUCCUACGUGAGGCAGCAGUGGGGAAUAUUCGGCAAUGGACGAAAGUCUGACCGAGCCAUGCCGCGUGAGUGAAGAAGGUUUUCGGAUUGUAAACCUCUUUUGUUAGGGAAGCGGUAUCUACCCAGAAAGCCACGGCUAACUACGUGCCAGCAGCCGCGGUAAUUC
rnacentral:rRNA from 1 species